AUUGAACGCUGGCGGCAUGCCUUACACAUGCAAGUCGAACGGAGCGGCGAACGGGUGAGUAAUACAUCGGAACCUGCCCGGUAGCGGGGGAUAACUUCCGGAAACCGAAGCUAAUACCGCAUACUAUCAGAUCAGCCUAGAUCGGAUUAGCUAGUUGGUGGGGUAAUGGCUCACCAAGGCGACGAUCCGUAACUGGUUUGAGAGGAGGAUCAGUAACACUGGAACUGAGACACGGUCCAGACUCCUACGGGAGGCAGCAGUGGGGAAUAUUGGACAAUGGGCGAAAGCCUGAUCCAGCCAUGCCGCGUGUGUGAAGAAGGUCUUCGGGUUGUAAAGCACUUUUGGUUGGGAGGCGUUACCUACAGAAUAAGCACCGGCUAACUCUGUGCCAGCAGCCGCGGUAAUAC
rnacentral:rRNA from 1 species